rnacentral:rRNA from 1 species
GACGAACGCUGGCGGCGUGCCUAAUACAUGCAAGUAGGACGCAGUUGCGAACGGGUGAGUAACGCGUAGGUAACUACCUAUUAGAGGGGGAUAACUAUUGGAAACGAUAGCUAAUACCGCAUACUAGUAGAUGGACCUGCGUUGUAUUAGCUAGUAGGUAGGGUAAUGGCCUACCUAGUCAAAGAUACAUAGCCGACCGUGGAGGGUGGUCGGCCAACUUGGGACGGGGCCACGGCCCAGACUCCUUCGGGAGGCAGCAGUAGGGAAACGUCGGCAAUGGGGGGAACCUUUACCGAGCAACGCCGCGUGAGUGAAGAAGUUUUUCGGAUCGUAAAGCUCUGUUGUUAAGGAAGCGGUACUUAACCAGAAAGGGACGGCUAACUACGUGCCAGCAGCCGCGGUAAUAC